rnacentral:rRNA from 1 species
GAUGAACGCUGGCGGCGUGCCUAAUACAUGCAAGUCGAGCGAACAGACGAGGAGCUUGCUCCUCUGACGUUAGCGGCGGACGGGUGAGUAACACGUGGAUAACCUACCUAUAAGACUGGGAUAACUUUGGGAAACCGGAGCUAAUACCGGAUAAUAUAUUGAACCGCAGGGUUCAAUAGUGAAAGACGGUUUUGCUGUCACUUAUAGAUGGAUCCGCGCCGCAUUAGCUAGUUGGUAAGGUAACGGCUUACCAAGGCGACGAUGCGUAGCCGACAUGAGAGGGUGGUCGGCCACACUGGAACUGAGACACGGUCCAGACUCCUACGGGAGGCAGCAGUAGGGAAUCUUCCGCAAUGGGCGAAAGCCUGACGGAGCAACGCCGCGUGAGUGAUGAAGGUCUUCGGAUCGUAAAACUCUGUUAUUAGGGAAGAACAAAUGUGUAAGUAACUAUGCACGUCUUGACGGUACCUAAUCAGAAAGCCACGGCUAACUACGUG